UCAUACAAAAUGGAAGCAGCUCAAGACAUUUACAAUACUUUUAUUACAACACAACAAAUGUUUUUUUUUUAAUUUCAUAUUAAAACUUAGUAAACAAUCAUCUUGAGAAUGAUAUUAAAAACAAUAAUAAUGUGAAAUGUUACUUUGUACCUUUAUUAUUACAAGCCAUCCACUGUACAGGUCCUUUGUCAUAACUGUGCUGACCUACUGAAAAUGUAAAGAUGCGCACCUAAACAGAACAAAAAAACUAAAGAUGAAUAUUGGAAAACAGAAACCCUUCUUCUGAACGUAUCAAUUGCAGUCUUACUUCUUUAUUUUUGUUGAGGUUUUCCAAUAUUUCCUCUGCCUUUUCCUCUCCUCCAUCAGUGAACAGCAUUAUAAUCCUGUUACAGUCGGCUCUGGAAACAUUCGUCUGUGCAAGCUGUGCAAAUGCCAGCUCAAAGCCACUGGUGUAGUUGGUGAUGCCCUCAGCUUUGAUCCUCUGUACGGCGUCCUUCAGGACCCGCUUGUUCCUCACAUUGGCCUGCACAAGGUGCUCAAAGCACGCGACAGGCCUGGCGCUUUUGUUAAACUGGAGGGGAAAAGGGAAGGAGGAUUGAUGGGAAAGUGGAGGGAAGGCACUCACACAUAUUUGAUUUGAAAUAUGUGGACUUUUUUCCCCUUCGCUGCAGAGUCAUGCAGUGUUCCUCCAACGUUUAAAGUAAUAAUUAAAAAGGGAAAGCCUCAAAAGACAUUUAAAUAAAUAAAAAAGUACAAACAUUUACAUUUUUUAACAAUAAAAAAACAACUAACAAGAGUGAAAAGGAAAAAAAAAUGUAAUCUGCACAGACCGAAGGGAGCUGCAGGAGCAGAGGAAAGGAUUGGAAGUUAUGCAGGAAAGGAUGGAAAAUAGUGGCAUAAGGAGGUAAAAGAAAAAUAGAGAAAUUGAUUAAGAAGAAUUUGUUUUUUUAAAUCACUUUACAGAGUUUGAUAUAAAAAGCUUCUUCCUGCUAAUGCCGGUGAUAUGUUUAUGCUGCAGUAACAGAUGGAGAACCCCAGCACACACCUGCAUGGGCACACAAACCACACCUGUGGAGGGCUGGGACAUGGAUCAUUAGAAACCAGCAUCUGUUUUGACCUGGACGGCACCCACAGCCAACUUGCAAUCCUCAUCAUGACCAAAAAACACAAAUCAUAGGUUCUUGCAAAACGUAUGAACUCAUAUGAGACAAAAAAAAAGCUGCUUCUCCACAAUUUACAGGCUUGAAAUCUGAUCUGCUAAUACUGAAAGAAUGUGAGUCCUAGAGCCAAAACAUAAUUGUAUUUUUUGAAAUUAUAACUUUACUGGAGUUUUACUGUAAAAAUUAUGAAGCAGCAGUUUAGUUACAAUUUAAUUUAAAAAAGCCAUUUUUAACUGCAUUUUCCUGUUUCACAACUCUGUUUAGAGCUUAAAUGUUUGUUCUGCAUUUUAAAAAAAUCAAAAGGCACUACUCUACCAGAAAA
rnacentral:lncRNA from 1 species